rnacentral:rRNA from 1 species
GAUGAACGCUGGCGGCGUGCCUAAUACAUGCAAGUAGAACGCUGAAGGAGGAGCUUGCUCUUCUGGAUGAGUUGCGAACGGGUGAGUAACGCGUAGGUAACCUGCCUGGUAGCGGGGGAUAACUAUUGGAAACGAUAGCUAAUACCGCAUGACAACAGUUAUUGCAUGAUAACUGUUUAAAAGGGGCAACUGCUCCACUACCAGAUGGACCUGCGUUGUAUUAGCUAGUUGGUGAGGUAACGGCUCACCAAGGCGACGAUACAUAGCCGACCUGAGAGGGGGAUCGGCCACACUGGGACUGAGACACGGCCCAGACUCCUACGGGAGGCAGCAGUAGGGAAUCUUCGGCAAUGGACGGAAGUCUGACCGAGCAACGCCGCGUGAGUGAAGAAGGUUUUCGGAUCGUAAAGCUCUGUUGUAAGAGAAGAACGAGUGUGAGAGUGGAAAGUUCACACUGUGACGGUAGCUUACCAGAAAGGGACGGCUAACUACGUG